AUUUUGUUUUGUGGGUGAUCUCUCUGCUCUUUUAUUAAGGGAAGAUCAUUUUAUGAGAGCUAAGAGUAUUUGCAUUCCUAGCAUGGGAAGAAGUUUAAAUUCCCAACCAACACAUUGUUCAAGCAAGUAAAAAGAACUGGAGAGUUUCCGCAAGAAUAUGCUGCUUGGAAUUGUGGCCAUGAGAUGACGGGCCUGAGGACCAAAGGCACCAGUGUAGGAUUGACAAGAUAGAAGGGCAGAAACGUCUUGAUGUCGUGAUGAUAUCACUGAGCCACUGUUACAACCCUGGGAUCAUGUACCCCGAUCUCUUGCUGAAGCCACUUUCAGUUUAGGAUCUGCGGAGAGGAAGAUAUGCCAGUGGGAAGUCACUGUGGAAGACAGUUUGGCAGUUUCCUACAAAACUAAGCCUACCCUUACCGUACCCUCUAGCUAUCCUGCUCCUCGGUAUUGACCCAAAGGAACUGAAAACGUGUCCACACGCAUACCUGCACUCGGAUGUUUAUAGCAGCUUCAUUCAUAACUGCCAAAACUUGGAAAGAACCAAGACGUUCUUCAGGAGGUAAAUGGAUAAAUAAACUGUGGUGUUAUCCGGACAGUGGAAUAUUAUUCAGUUCUGAAAAGAAAUGAGCUAUCAAACCAUGAAAAGACGUGGAGGAAACUUAAAGGCAUAUUACUAAGUGAAAGAAGCCAAUCUGAAAAGAUGACAUAUGAACAAAAUGGAACCCUCCUCCAACAGACCUGUUCUGCACCAGCAGAUGAAGCGUUGGGUUCUGCCAAACGACCUCUAUCAUUUUAUAACAGCACUGUUGGGGGGAGGGGCAAAGCAUAUAGAUGGUAAGCACAUUUUCUUGCUUAAUUUUGCGCAAGGAACAAAGGUUAUCCAAAGAGGGCUGGAUUUUAGUGAACUGCACAGAACCCAGCAGAGAAAAGAGGUGUGGAAAAUGGCAAUUAGGUAAGAUAUGACAAUUUUCUACAAGUUUAUAAAGCUCAAACUUAAGAGAAUACUUUUGAGAAUUUGAAGAAGUGUAUGUGAGGGAUGUUAUGACAUUAGGUGAAGUGGAGGAAGGAGCAGAGAGAGGCUGAGGUAGACCAAGAUCACUGCAGCAGCCUUUGAUUUGGUUUAAUUGAUGGAGCACAAAAAAAGAAAAAAAGGAGAAAAAGAAUGAGGAGAUGGUGAAAUUGACAAAUGUAAAAUACUGUAAGAGAAAUUCCUGUAGCUUGUCUAGAGCAGAAGUGGAAAAGUUUGUUAUACUAGGAAAUAGUCAUUUAAAUGGAAAGAUG
rnacentral:lncRNA from 1 species